rnacentral:piRNA from 1 species
UACGUUGAAAACAGACUAACUAGGUGUGU